rnacentral:rRNA from 1 species
UACGUAGGGCGCAAGCGUUGUCCGGAAUUAUUGGGCGUAAAGAGCUCGUAGGCGGCUUGUCACGUCGGAUGUGAAAGCCCGAGGCUUAACCUCGGGUCUGCAUUCGAUACGGGCUAGCUAGAGUGUGGUAGGGGAGAUCGGAAUUCCUGGUGUAGCGGUGAGAUGCGCAGAUAUCAGGAGGAACACCGGUGGCGAAGGCGGAUCUCUGGGCCAUUACUGACGCUGAGGAGCGAAAGCCAGGGGAGCAAACGGG